CGGGGUUGCGGACAGUGUCUGGUGGGUAGUUUGACUGGGGCGGUCUCCUCCCAAAGAGUAACGGAGGAGCACGAAGGUUAGCUAAUCCUGGUCGGACAUCAGGAGGUUAGUGCAAUGGCAUAAGCUAGCUUGACUGCGAGCGUGACGGCGCGAGCAGGUGCGAAAGCAGGUCAUAGUGAUCCGGUGGUUCUGAAUGGAAGGGCCAUCGCUCAACGGAUAAAAGGUACUCCGGGGAUAACAGGCUGAUACCGCCCAAGAGUUCAUAUCGACGGCGGUGUUUGGCACCUCGAUGUCGGCUCAUCACAUCCUGGGGCUGAAGUAGGUCCCAAGGGUAUGGCUGUUCGCCAUUUAAAGUGGUACGCGAGCUGGGUUUAGAACGUCGUGAGACAGUUCGGUCCCUAUCUGCCGUGGGCGCUGGAGAAUUGAGGGGGGCUGCUCCUAGUACGAGAGGACCGGAGUGGACGCAUCACUGGUGUUCGGGUUGUCAUGCCAAUGGCAUUGCCCGGUAGCUAAAUGCGGAAGAGAUAAGUGCUGAAAGCAUCUAAGCACGAAACUUGCCCCGAGAUGAGUUCUCCCUGAGACUUUAAGUCUCCUGAAGGAACGUUGAAGACGACGACGUUGAUAGGCCGGGUGUGUAAGCGCAGCGAUGCGUUGAGCUAACCGGUACUAAUGAACCGUGAGGCUUAACCUU
rnacentral:rRNA from 1 species